rnacentral:lncRNA from 1 species
AAGUUUGAAAUGAGGGGUUUUUAGUAAGAAAUUAAAUCAAUUGCAUUGUUUUAAACAAGUGCAUCAUGAUUUCCAAGUUCACCUUAUCUAUUGCUUAUUCCCUUGUUAUGUUCACUCACUGAGUUUUAUACUCACAUUUUUAAACUUCAUGUUUUCAGAUUCGAAGGCAGUUGGGACCUAGAUUGAGUGUCCACGUAUGCUCGUCCUCUUGGUAGGUACAUGGCAUCUCAGUUGCUGUACCUUCACCCACGGUCACUCCGCUGAUAGUCAAGAGUCUGUUACCUGUGAACACGUAUAUGUAAUGUAAUCCACUAGGAUCCAUGUUAUAAGUCAAAUAGGUAUAUUUGAUUACUGAUGCCACUAUGAGUUGGAAAAUGGGUGACAUUAUUUUAACAUAAUAAAAUGGUGAGUAUUGGGUCACUAUAAAAUGUUAUUGAAAUAUUUUU